rnacentral:rRNA from 1 species
UACCCGCAGCUCAAGUGGUGGUCAUUAUUAUUGGGCCUAAAGCGUCCGUAGCUGGCCUAUUAGAUGCCUGGGUAAAUCGAUGCGCUCAACGUAUCGACUUCCGGGUAGACCGGCAGGCUCGAGACCGGGAGAGGUGUAGGCUACUCGAGGGGUAGGGGUAAAAUCCUGUAAUCCUUCGGGGAGGACCAGUGGCGAAGGCGCUACACUAGAACGGCUCUGACAGUGAGGGACGAAGCCCUGGGGCGCAAACCGG